AUUUACUUUCUUACUCAUUAAAAGUUUGAGAAUAGGUUGAGAUCGUUUCGGCCCCAAGACCUCUAAUCAUUUGCUUUACCGGAUAAAACUGCGGGCCGGGGGCGCCUCGGGUCUGG